AACGCACAUUGCGCUUCCUGGUAUUCCGGGGAGCAUGCUCGUUUCAGAAUCAUUUAAAGCUCACAAACCGUUUGUGCUGUGGCACAUUGGGGCGUGGAUGUGAGUGUAUUUUUCUUUGCAAGAAGAAAAUCGCUUUGAAAUGAUUGUGUGUACGUCGAUGCUAUUGGUCGAUCCGCUCAGUGCAACAGAUAAUGGAACACUUUGUUGAUCAGCCUUUGGUCUAGAUGUAUGCAAUUCCAAUAAACACAGCUCCGAUUGCAAGUUUUGUGAUCGGCUCUGACAACUUGGUCUGAAAUCGAGCAAGAAAACCCGCUGAACUUAA
rnacentral:misc_RNA from 1 species